rnacentral:lncRNA from 1 species
CACAGCCUUCGGAUGUCCCCAGGAGGAUGCUGGGUAACUGGCAUCACUACAAAGUUGAUCAUGAAGGUCAGCCAGCCUGUCACCGGUUCACCCAAGGUCUACCAAGUAGUAAUACAUAUACUAAUGUCUACUAGAGGAGAAAGCAGAAAGCUACUACGAAGAUCAGCGAUCCAUCAUUCCCACCAGAUGACGUAGGUUAGUCAUGAAAGAAAAUGAUCCAGUUUGUAAAACAGUGGACAUGUAAGUGACAGAAAUGAUUUAGACAGGGGACAUCAGAACUGGGCUUGCAGGUCUGGAGCAUCCCACGGAGAUUCUGCCACAUUAUUUCACAAUUAUGAGGCUGGACAGGAUGCUUUUGAACCAAGGAAUUGAUAGCAUGAUGGUCUGAUCACAGUCGUGGUUGAAGAAGUCAACUUGGCAAUGUAAAAAAGCCAAGGAUAAGCGAGAAGAGAAAAUAAAACAUCCGAAAAUAAUUCUGAC